AUACAUGGUAGGGGAGAGUCCAGCCGCCUGUAACCGGUAUAUCCGCAUAGCAGUCGUAGUUGGCACCGAAGGAGCAACACCCCACUAAACUCUCAGGUACCAGUACUUUAUCAUGUAA
rnacentral:ncRNA from 2 species